rnacentral:misc_RNA from 1 species
UUUCGCCCAGUCGGGGUAACAACACCGCGCCCGACACACGUCUUACGGAGCUCGCACCUCGAGUAAACCUUAUCUCUUAUCAAAAUAAAGUAUGAUACAUAAAUUCACCUCACGAGUGUUCUGAUAAGACACUUCAUCCGCGAUAAACGCUUACGAAUCGAGGACUGAUUUCACGUUAAUUUUAGUUAUAAAUCAAUCACAAGACGGUUUGUGUACUUUUAAUUUAAUUUUUGUGUUGAAAAUACACCAUUUACAGGUUUUUUAAGUUGAAAAAAUUGAAUUAUUUAAAAUGAAGUUAAAGGUGCCGGUGUUAGUUUUGCUAGUGACAGCGAGUUCAGUGAGUUGUGCACCAUGUUCCACUGUGGAAAGUUUGGACAUAUCAACAGGUGAGCUUUUUGAGAACGGCACAGUGAUUCAUAAUGGGAUUGAAUACCCCAGUAGUGCCUGGUAUACCGUGGAGGAAGAGGGCCGGGAGGUGCGGCUUGGAUGCCCUUGCAUCGGGAGGACUUGCCUGUGGAAGUGCUGCGCGGAGGGGCACAUGUACUUUAACAAGUCAUGUACAGCAACUGGUAUGGAGGAGGUGAAUCCUUUCCGGCCGACAGUGUUCAAAGGGCGGGAUCCACUGGAUGUGGCUGCGGACCGUCACUUCUUCUACAUGUACAACCGACCCUGCACCGACAGAUACCUCGUAGAUACACUCUCCAGCCGCGACGAGGUGUUCGUACAAGAGAAUGGCACGCUAUACGAGAUAGUGAACAACUUGCACCAAUGGCACCCGGCGCCGACGUUCUGUGUGGAUAUGAUGAUCACCAACUCGACCCUCGCGCCGCGGCUGGUGGCGCUCGUCUGCCACCCGCAAGAAACGGACCAGGACGACAGCUCGGCUCUCUACAUCGCUUACGCUAUUGGUCUGAUGUUGUCAGUGCCGUUCCUCCUGGCGACGUUCCUGGUGUAUGCCUUCAUCCCCGAGCUGCGGAACCUACACGGCAUGUGCUUGAUGGCAUACUGUGCCGGGCUGAUCGUCGCAUACCCGCUCCUGGCAUACCUCAAGAUGCAAGUUGGUGACGUCAAUGUGGAGAUCAGUGGGUGCAUGGCUAUUGCGUUCAUCAUCUACUAUGCGUUCCAGUCAAGUUUCUUCUGGCUCAACGUGAUGUGCUUCGACAUAUGGAGAACUUUCAGUGGGUACCGUGGUGGCAGCAGCAACAAACGCCGGGAGAGGAAGAGGUUUGCCUGGUACGGGCUUUAUGCCUGGGGGGUUCCUCUGGUCCUGACUUCCAUCACCAUUGCCAUGCAGUUCAGUAAUGAUCUGCCUAGCCACAUCAUCCGACCUGGGUUCGGCAGCCGAAGGUGCUGGUUUAUAGAUUGGCUGAGCGAGCUGGUGUACUUCUUCACGCCGGUUUUGACCCUGGUGGUGUGCAAUAUCGUCCUGUUCUCCAUCACCGCGCACCGCAUCCGCUCCAUCCGCCAGGAGACAUCCAUUCUCAAGAGCUCCGAGUCUUCACGGAGUGAUAAGUUAAAGCGAGAUAAACAGAGAUACGCGUUGUACCUGAAGCUGUUCGUGGUGAUGGGCGUGAACUGGAGCGUGGAGGUGAUCAGCUUCGCGGCCGGUGGCUCCAACUGGUACUGGAUCAUCAUAGACCUCUCCAACAUCGCUCUUGGCGUCUUCAUAUUCUUCAUCUUCGUCUGGAAGAACAAAGUGCGCAACUUGGUGCGGAAGAAGUUUGCAAAGUGGCGAGGCGUGCCGAUGGAGGGCACAGGCUUCUCCGACUCAGGUACCGGUCGAUGGGCCACUCGCUCCAGCACUGCGCCCACGGAGAUCACCAGGAUACACUCCUCAGACGACCCUGGGAUGCGCCUCAAGGACAUACGCUAGUCACCGGAUCUAUCAUUUCCAAAGAUUCCAAUGAUGCGACCACAUGACGAGAUAUGCCAAAGAAUUCUCAGAAGUACAACAGUGUGAAGAUAUCCUGCGGUUGUUUUACGUAUUUAUACCUAGUCAAAUACACCGAACGACCUUUUAGGUUUAAAUAGUGUAAGGUUUUGCAUUUAUAAGGAUAAGUAAGGAAUAUAACUAUCUAUACCUACCUAUUCCUAUCUAGGGUCACUAAUGAAGAAGUGCUAGUAAGAGUAAAGGAAAGAGGAUAAAUAUUGAGAGUUAUUGAAGACAGAAGAGACAAGAUGAUUGAACACUUAAUACCUAAGCCACGACGAAUUUAUUAAAAAAAAACAUAGAAGAGAAGAUAGAAGGAAAGAGAGGAAGGGGAAAACCAAGAAGAGCUUACAUGGAACAAAUUAAAGAAAAGGCGAACGUCGUGUCUUAUAAGGAAGUCAAAGAAUUGGCCCUAGAUAGAGAAGAAUGGAGAAUGCUGCACCGACAAGAGCGUGACUCUUAAAUUGAUGAUUGUCUAUCUUUAGAGAAAGAGUGUCAGAAUCAGCAAACUGUGUUUUCUAAUAAGCUGUAAGCUGUGUUUUUUUUCUUCGAAAUACUUGCUGUGAGCCUAACGCUCUAACCACUAGACCACGGAGGCUGCACGAUCUGGAGGUCCGGGUUCGAUUCCCGAUGGGGACAUUGUCGAAAUCACUUUGUGAGACUGUCCUUUGUUUGGUAAGGACUUUUCAGGCUUGAAUCACCUGAUUGUCCGAAAAAGUAAGAUGAUUCCGUGCUUCGGAGGGCACGUUAAGCCGUUGGUCCCGGCUAUUAGCCGUAAAAACACCUCCACCAACCCGCAGUGGAGCAGCGUGGUGGAGUAUGCUCCAUACCCCCUCCGGUUGAUUGAGGGGAGGCCUGUGCCCAGCAGUGGGACGUAUAUAGGCAGUUUAUGUUAUGUGGUGUGUACUGGAAUCAGCACUAGUAGGUAUCAAACUAAACUUAUCAAAUAAAGAAACUAAACUUUAAUAAUUAGGUGAUGAUGAUGUGAUCCAGCCGAUUUCGGCUACGGCGACUGUUUUAACUCUAAGGUUC